AGGGAAUUUACCCUUUCCUUGCUGAAUAGUGUAUCUACUCUGAAAAGCAGCAAACUGCAGGUAGUUAUUGCCUCAUGUGACCUCCAGAUGUUAGCCAUACAGUCAGCAGAACCAGCCUCCAACAAGCACAGCAAGAUUAUUCUCAGCAUGUAUGAUUAUUUCAAUAUCCAUGGAAAGUCCAUUCUGCUGAUCAGGUCCACCUGUGUGAUGUAAAACACCUGUGUGGGAUUUCUGGGAUGCCAUGACUUCCCCUCACCUCAGGGAUUUAAAGGACUAGCCACCUCCUUCCCUCAAGAAAACAGGGCCCAUUCAGUAGCUACUGUUGAGUCUUCCUUUGGAUUUGAUGUCCACCGAGAGCUAUAAUCGGAAAGUGAGAUAAUGAUACUAGAAUGCCUGGGCUAAUAAGACGAAUGGAGGGGUUUCUGAGAGUUCCAGGCAGACUUGGAGAAAGCAGAACAAGAAUACUUCCAGGAAUAAAUUGGGAAUCUGAGAAACAGUCAUAGGGAGUGAUCAAAUGGGAGACACUCUUUCCUAAGGAAGAGAAGAGGCAUGAGGGUAUCUCUAUGUAGCUCUGGCUGUACUGAAACUCAGAGAUCUGCCUACAUUUGCCUUUCAAGUCCUGGGAUUAAAGGUGGGUGUCAUUAUGCCAAUCUUGACCUU